rnacentral:sRNA from 1 species
CUCUGGUGCAAUAGAAAGAAUGUAUGUAACAGUAAGUUACAGGUCAAACUCCUUGUUCUAUUCUCUCCCCCGUUUUCACUAUUGCACUUGACUAGUCUUAA